ACCAGACUCCUACGGGAGGCAGCAGUGGGGGAUAUUGCACAAUGGGGGGAACCCUGAUGCAGCGACGCCGCGUGGGUGAAGAAGCGCCUCGGCGCGUAAAGCCCUGUCAGCAGGGAAGAAAAUGACGGUACCUGAAGAAGAAGCCCCGGCUAACUACGUGCCAGCAGCCGCGGUAAUACGUAGGGGGCAAGCGUUAUCCGGAUUUACUGGGUGUAAAGGGGGCGCAGACGGCGAUGCAAGCCAGGAGUGAAAGCCCGGGGCCCAACCCCGGGACUGCUCUUGGAACUGCGUGGCUGGAGUGCAGGAGGGGCAGGCGGAAUUCCUGGUGUAGCGGUGAAAUGCGUAGAUAUCAGGAGGAACACCGGUGGCGAAGGCGGCCUGCUGGACUGCAACUGACGUUGAGGCCCGAAAGCGUGGGGAGCAAACAGGAUUAGAUACCCUUGUAGAU
rnacentral:rRNA from 1 species